rnacentral:lncRNA from 1 species
CAACGAGGCAAUGAAUGUUAUUCUUGUGUGCUUACAACAGAAAUUGGAAUUGGAGGUGUUGUAUGUUGUUCUGAGAAACUUUCCAGAGGCACUGCAAGAUAAAAACUUGAUACAUUCUUGAAAGCACUACUUGCGUUAAAUAUGUACAGUGUUAUCUAAAAUGGUUUGAAAUUAUGAUUUUCUUCCUGGAUUAUUUCGUGUUCC